AUGGUGCUGAACCUGAAGGUCAUGGUGCGCAGGGCCGACGGCAGACCCGGAAUGCCCCCCAGCACUGGAGCCGCAGCCUCUACCGAGGGAUCCUUCCCCCAGCACCGGGACCUGGUCCUGGGGUCCUCGCCCCGUCCAGCCACGGUCUUGGCGACCCCACCCGGACUAGCCCUGGCCCUGCUGCGUCCGCCGCCACCCUGCCCCUUGCCAGAGAAGCCCCGUGCUGCAGCGUCCCCAGAGGCAGCGCCCGGCCGGCCACGCGGCCCGGAGGGGCAGGCCCUGUUUACACACGGCCACCUUGGCCCGGCAGCCCUGGAGGAAUGUGGAAAAUGCAACGGUCACAUUCUGCAGGCGGCGGCUGCUCAUGAAUGUGCAUUCUGUUCGGCCGCCGGCUGGACGAAGGCCCUGCAAGCAGUGGAGUCAGGAUGGAGGCUGGCAGCAGGCGGCCAGGGGACGGAAUGUCCCCCGUCCUGCCGCUGGCUCCCACCCAGCCGGGAGGAGGGGCUGACGAGGGCACGGGGGCUGCUGUGGCUCCAGCUGCGUGCACAGGUCCCCAUCUCAUCCAUGUGUGUCCAUAGCCGCACUCCCCUGCCCUCCCCUGUCCCCUCUGUGUCACACACACACAGCCUCCCUCCCUCACUGCUGCCGUCUGGGGGUCCAGGUGGGGUAGCCGAGCCCUGGCCUCCCCUGGCCCUCUGUGUCCCCCGGCCGGGGCCCUCAGGGAUCACUGCCUUGUUCGGGGCUCAAAGCCGCGUGAGAGCUGACCAGGGCUGUGAGGGCCCCCAAGAUCCUGUCUUGUCACUCACUGGGCUGGCCCACCCUACCCAGGAGGGGCCUGGGACAGCGUGGGCAGCUGUGGCAGGUAAGCGUCCUCCCUCCCACUGUGUUGUUGGACCAGCCCCGCCUUCUCGCCGCCCCCCCCCCCCCCCCCCCCGCCCCUGCUGUAAAUGGGGCUUCUAUUUGGGACCCUCCCCCGACAGCCAGCCCUGUCUAAACAAGGGUGUGCUUCUCAGAAGCCCCGUCAGUCCCCAUCGAGGGCUGGGUGAUGAGCAGGACACCCAGAGUUUGACGCUGGGUUGCAGCCCCCAACCCCUGCCGGCUGUCGCUGACCUCACUUUCUGGUUGGUGGCGGCUGACGCGCCCGCAGGCCCUCUGUGCAAGGAGGCAGGGCUGCGGCCCCAGAACAUCUGGAGGCAGGAACUUGCAGUGCUAACCACAGCUGGGCCCACGUCCCCCGGCACCUCUGGGGUGGGUCCCGCUGGCCCCCGCCCUGCUUCCCACCCCUCCCCAAAGCUGGUUUGGCGCUUGGGGCUGGGGUGGGGGUGGGGGAGGGAUCCACAGGAGCGAUGCUGA
rnacentral:lncRNA from 1 species